GAUGAACGCUGGCGGCGUGCCUAAUACAUGCAAGUCGAGCGAACAGACGAGGAGCUUGCUCCUCUGACGUUAGCGGCGGACGGGUGGGUAACACGUGGAUAACCUACCUAUAAGACUGGGAUAACUUCGGGAAACCGGAGCUAAUACCGGAUAACAUGUUGAACCGCAUGGUUCAACAGUGAAAGACGGUCUUGCUGUCACUUAUAGAUGGAUCCGCGCCGCAUUAGCUAGUUGGUAAGGUAACGGCUUACCAAGGCAACGAUGCGUAGCCGACCUGAGAGGGUGAUCGGCCACACUGGAACUGAGACACGGUCCAGACUCCUACGGGAGGCAGCAGUAGGGAAUCUUCCGCAAUGGGCGAAAGCCUGACGGAGCAACGCCGCGUGAGUGAUGAAGGUCUUCGGAUCGUAAAACUCUGUUAUUAGGGAAGAACAAAUGUGUAAGUAACUAUGCACGUCUUGACGGUACCUAAUCAGAAAGCCGCGGCUAACUACGUG
rnacentral:rRNA from 1 species